GCUCAGAUGCGUUAUCUACUUUAAGCCGACAUACGGAUAUUAUAAUAUUCAGUUUUGUGGGCCAAAUUUAUUUUAUAUGCCAACAUCUAUGAAAGAAAGAGCCAGGCCACGGAGCGAGAUGCGUCAUUUACGCACAGAUGGUUCCGAUUUUAAUGCCAUUUUUGGAGUUUAUGUUGUGAUCUGUGCGCUAAACCCACCUUUGUCACGUGAGGUUUGAAUAUAUGCAACUUUAUGUGAGUGUCUUUAUUUGUGGAAAAGGGUGUUUGUCUUACCAGUGGGUCCAACAUUACGCACACCAAAUCCAUCUGCGCUCAGAUGAGAGAGUGUGGAGGACACUUGUUGAGCAGCUGCCCUCUGUCGCCAUCGUGUGGCAUAACUGUCUUCAGACAUCUCUCGAUCUCUUUGACUACUUCAUGAAAAUAGUAUUACGCCUCGCCGGUGGCGGAUUUAAAGGCAAGGAGAGGAGCUUAUGUGAUUGGUGAAAACAGGUCUCGGCUGUGUUAAACCGACUCCACGCCCUCUCUCCUCCCUGUCUAUGACUUAUGCUGCCGGGAGGAGCUGAGUUAGGGAGGGGGGAUACUUACACCGGGCUGCGCGGCUCACCAAAAUACCAAAAUGUGCUUGGGAACGCCUUGUCAGCGCGGCGGAUCUGAUUGACGCUGCGCUUGUGGCACGUCUUCGGCGAGGCACCAAAAUAGAGCCCUAUAUCUUGAAUUUUAUAGGGGGGAAGACAGAGUUUCCAAAGUGAACCCACAUACCCUUCACAGUCCAUGAAUUUAAAAAGCAAGCAAUAUGCAUACCAUAUGCAUGUAACAAAUUAAGAUAUCUAAUUAUAAUAAUUCCUGAAAAAUGGCACAACCUGGUGGCUUAAUAUAGAGAAAGUUUUGACAUGCUUUAGCUGACUGGGAUCGUUGUGUCUUUAAAAAAUAAGUAAUUUAAUUUUGUUAUGUAAAUGUAGUGUUUGACAUGCAUCAAUGGCCCUAAAAUACACUGAACAUGCCUUUUUUCCCCGAUGAAAUAUCCUUUCACUUGUUUGGUGGACAGUGAUAAAUGGUAGAUACAUACAAACUCAAGAAGUCUUCACUAUGGGCAUCUUUUUUCUCCUUAUCAGUAUCGUAUCAAAUGGCUUAUGUGACUGCUCGUGCAACACGUUUGUCGCUUUUGGUUGUUUGUGAUUUCUGUUUUAAAUCAAUUUUGUUUAAGUAUUCAGCAAUAUUACUUUCAUUUAUCCCUCACCUCUUCCUCCUAAUCUUAAUCCAGUUCUGGCUUUUUUAAUUAUGUGGGGUCAGAUCUCAGAUAUGAAAUCCAAACAUUAGCCAAACCAGGAUGGAUGUGUCAUAUGGAUAGAUGGUGAGACCAGUAGACAAAAAGCCAAAAUACUGAGUCUUGGUGGGUUAAAUGUAAGCUUCGAAGUCAGAUCCAGUGCUUUAAAUAAUCUAACAAUCCUCUACAUGACAACUGUAGCACUUGUAAAUUCAGGCAAUGUCACUCAUGAAUCCAUGCAGGCCUGCCAACCCCAUUAUACACAAAAAACAAACAAACAAAUCAACAAUAAAACAUUAAUAAUAAUAAUAAUAAUAAACAUGGACAUUUAUUUAUCAAUGAAUAAGUGUAUAAAGCAGAAAAAGCCAGUCACAACAUGUUGACUUGCAUCAGGAAAAGCAGCAUUUGAUCCAGAUUUAAGAUAAUUACUGCAACAACUGAAACUACUGAAACAAACUGCUGUUGUUUCAGGGUCUUGUGCAUGCUAGCUUAUUGUCUCGGCAUCCAUGUGUGAAGGACACAGCUCCUUUGUUGUAAAAAAAGAGGUUUAAUCAUUUCUCUUUUCCAUUUUGUACAUUUUUUCUACCUACUUAAAAUUUUGAAUAUUUAAAUAAUAUUGACAUAUUGUAAACUCUGCACUGGACACAGCCUCUCGCUGUCUUUCCCUAUGUGUAUAUAUAUAUCUAUAUAUCUCUCUCUAUAUAUACAGUAUAUCUAUUUAUAUAUAUGUGUGUGU